GAUGAACGCUGGCGGCGUGCCUAAUACAUGCAAGUCGAGCGAACAGACGCGGAGCUUGCUCCUCUGACGUUAGCGGCAGACGUGUGAGUCACACGUGGAUAACCUACCUAUCAGACUGGGAUAACUUCGGAAAACCGGAGCUAAUAGCGGAUAAUAUCUUGAACCGCAUUGUUCAAUAGUAAAAGACGGUUUUGCUGUCACUACUAGAUGGAUCCGCGCCGGAUUAGCUAGUUGGUAAGGUACCGGCCUACCAAGGCAAACAUGCGCCAGCGACGUGACGGGGUGAUAGCCCACACUGGAACUGGGACACGGUCCAGACUCCUACGGGAGGCAGCAGUAGGGAAUCUUACGCAAUGGGCGAAAGCCUGACAGAGUAACGCGGCGUGAGUUAUGAAGGUCUUCGGAUCGUAAAACUCUGUUAUUAGGGAAGAACAAAUGUGUAAGUAACUAUGCACGUCUUGACGGUACCUAAUCAGAAAGCCCCGGCUAACUACGUG
rnacentral:rRNA from 1 species